AACUUUGACCGGCCUUAGAGCUGCCUGUCUCAUUUUGCAAAAAUUUGUAAGAUAAGGAUCAGUUAAGUUGCUUUAAGCUCCUCAGAGAAUUGGAUUGCAAGUUGAAAGACAUUAUUUUCAAUUUGCUUCUUUCCCUCUGGCUACAUAGUUCUACUUUUAAAUAUUUCUGGCAGUAUCGAAGAGCCCCCCCACACCCCCCUUGGGUGUAAGAGGGGUCCCCCAAAAGGGUGCAAAUGAUCCUGACUUAACCUUCCUAAAUCUAGAGUCCCUCCCAAUGAGAACCAAAAAGAGAACCAAAAAUGGGCAGGUCCUGGGCAGGCAGAAAGCCCAGUCUGGUUACGCAGGUUACACAACUGGUAAAGCAAGAAGUCAUUAGCUGACUGUGGGACAGAAGGGAUCAAUAGCCAAUAGGUCUGGAUUUGGAAAGCAAGGGCCAGUGCACAGCUCUCUCUCUUCCUCUCCUCAACUACAGACAGAUACUCGGAAGAGCUGACUCUGGCCCCUUGGCUGGGAAGCGACACUCCUGUAAAUUCUACGGUGCCCACGUCCGCGAGCAUCUUCUUCACCAUUUUGAAAAAUGGCAUAAAUGGCACCAUCAUGGAUCCGCUGUAUCAGGCCCACGAUCCACCUAGAACAACGCGACUCCGAUGAGGGGUCGCCGUGUAUAUGCAGGAAGGCCCGGCUGGCCACUCCAGCUUCCUCAAAUAGUCCUUCAUCUACCCUUGGUUCCCUUUAAGCACCCACUCUGUCACAACCCAGUAAGUGUAGAGCUCAGUGGAUUUUUACAUAUGUGUAUAUCUGUGUCACCACCACCCAGAUAAAAAGGGAGAACAUUCCAGCACCCUAAUGCACACCCUUGUGUCCCUCUCAGGAGCGACUCCCUCCAAGGGAAACCACUGUUCUGACCUCUAUCAUCAUGGAUUAGUUUCACUUGUCUCUUGAACAUCAUGUCAAUGGAAUUAUAGAGUAUGCAUUGCUUUUGGUCUUUUUUCAAAAACAUGCUUGUGAGAUUCA